UCGGGAAUUUUGGGCAAUGGGCGAAAGCCUGACCCAGCAACGCCGCGUGAGGGAUGAAGUAUUUCGGUAUGUAAACCUCGAAAGAAUGGGAAGAAUAAAUGACGGUACCAUUUAUAAGCUCCGGCUAACUACGUGCCAGCAGCCGCGGUAGUACGUAGGGAGCAAGCGUUGUUCGGAUUUACUGGGCGUAAAGGGCGCGUAGGCGACGCGGUAAGUCACUUGUGCAAUCUCUGAGCUUAACUCAGAACGGCCAAGUGAUACUGCUGUGCUAGAGUGCGGAAGAGGCAACCGGAAUUCUUGGUGUAGCGGUGAAAUGCGUAGAUAUCAAGAGGAACACCUGAGGCGAAGGCGGGUUGCUGGGCCGACACUGACGCUGAUGCGCGAAAGCCAGGGGGGCAAACG
rnacentral:rRNA from 1 species